rnacentral:rRNA from 1 species
GAUGAACGCUGGCGGCGUGCCUAAUACAUGCAAGUCGAGCGAACAGACGAGGAGCUUGCUCCUCUGACGUUAGCGGCGGACGGGUGAGUAACACGUGGAUAACCUACCUAUAAGACUGGGAUAACUUCGGGAAACCGGAGCUAAUACCGGAUAAUAUAUUGAACCGCAUGGUUCAAUAGUGAAAGACGGUUUUGCUGUCACUUAUAGAUGGAUCCGCGCCGCAUUAGCUAGUUGGUAAGGUAACGGCUUACCAAGGCAACGAUGCGUAGCCGACCUGAGAGGGUGAUCGGCCACAAGGGAACUGAGACCCGGUCCAGACUCCUACGGGAGGCAGCAGUAGGGAAGCUUCCGCAAUGGGCGAAAGCUUGACGGAGCAACGCCGCGUGAGUGAUGAAGGUCUUCGGAUCGUAAAACUCUGUUAUUAGGGAAGAACAAAUGUGUAAGUAACUAUGCACGUCUUGACGGUACCUAAUCAGAAAGCCACGGCUAACUACGUG